rnacentral:rRNA from 1 species
GAUGAACGCUGGCGGCGUGCCUAAUACAUGCAAGUCGAGCGAACGGACGAGAAGCUUGCUUUUCUGAUGUUAGCGGCGGACGGGUGAGUAACACGUGGAUAACCUACCUAUAAGACUGGGAUAACUUCGGGAAACCGGAGCUAAUGCCGGAUAAUAUUUUGAACCGCAUGGUUCAUAAGUGAAAGACGGUCUUGCUGUCACUUAUAGAUGGAUCCGCGCUGCAUUAGCUAGUUGGUAAGGUAACGGCUUACCAAGGCAACGAUGCAUAGCCGACCUGAGAGGGUGAUCGGCCACACUGGAACUGAGACACGGUCCAGACUCCUACGGGAGGCAGCAGUAGGGAAUCUUCCGCAAUGGGCGAAAGCCUGACGGAGCAACGCCGCGUGAGUGAUGAAGGUCUUCGGAUCGUAAAACUCUGUUAUUAGGGAAGAACAUAUGUGUAAGUAACUGUGCACAUCUUGACGGUACCUAAUCAGAAAGCCACGGCUAACUACGUG